rnacentral:rRNA from 1 species
UACGUAGGGACCAAGCGUUGUUCGGAUUUACUGGGCGUAAAGGGCGCGUAGGCGGCGUGGUAAGUCACUUGUGAAAUCCCUCAGCUUAACUGGGGAACUGCGUGUGGGACUGGCAAGCUUGAGGACAGGAGAGGAACGCGGAAUUCCAGGUGUAGCGGUGAAAUGCGUAGAUAUCUGGAGGAACACCGGUGGCGAAGGCGGCGUUCUGGACUGUUCCUGACACUGUAAAACGAAAGCCAGGGGAGCAAACGGG